rnacentral:rRNA from 1 species
UACGUAGGGGGCUAGCGUUGUUCGGAAUUACUGGGCGUAAAGGGUUCGUAGGUGGUGCGGUAAGUUGGAAGUGAAAUCUCUGGGCUUAACCCAGAGGCUGCUUUCAAAACUGUCGCGCUCGAGUGCGGGAGAGGUCAGUGGAAUUGCAGGUGUAGCGGUGAAAUGCGUAGAUAUCUGCAGGAACACCAGUGGCGAAGGCGGCUGACUGGAUCGCAACUGACACUGAGGAGCGAAAGCUAGGGGAGCAAACAGG